rnacentral:rRNA from 2 species
CCUAAUACAUGCAAGUCGAACGAACUCUGGUAUUGAUUGGUGCUUGCAUCAUGAUUUACAUUUGAGUGAGUGGCGAACUGGUGAGUAACACGUGGGAAACCUGCCCAGAAGCGGGGGAUAACACCUGGAAACAGAUGCUAAUACCGCAUAACAACUUGGACCGCAUGGUCCGAGCUUGAAAGAUGGCUUCGGCUAUCACUUUUGGAUGGUCCCGCGGCGUAUUAGCUAGAUGGUGGGGUAACGGCUCACCAUGGCAAUGAUACGUAGCCGACCUGAGAGGGUAAUCGGCCACAUUGGGACUGAGACACGGCCCAAACUCCUACGGGAGGCAGCAGUAGGGAAUCUUCCACAAUGGACGAAAGUCUGAUGGAGCAACGCCGCGUGAGUGAAGAAGGGUUUCGGCUCGUAAAACUCUGUUGUUAAAGAAGAACAUAUCUGAGAGUAACUGUUCAGGUAUUGACGGUAUUUAACCAGAAAGCCACGGCUAACUACGUGCCAGCAGCCGCGGUAAUACGUAGGUGGCAAGCGUUGUCCGGAUUUAUUGGGCGUAAAGCGAGCGCAGGCGGUUUUUUAAGUCUGAUGUGAAAGCCUUCGGCUCAACCGAAGAAGUGCAUCGGAAACUGGGAAACUUGAGUGCAGAAGAGGACAGUGGAACUCCAUGUGUAGCGGUGAAAUGCGUAGAUAUAUGGAAGAACACCAGUGGCGAAGGCGGCUGUCUGGUCUGUAACUGACGCUGAGGCUCGAAAGUAUGGGUAGCAAACAGGAUUAGAUACCCUGGUAGUCCAUACCGUAAACGAUGAAUGCUAAGUGUUGGAGGGUUUCCGCCCUUCAGUGCUGCAGCUAACGCAUUAAGCAUUCCGCCUGGGGAGUACGGCCGCAAGGCUGAAACUCAAAGGAAUUGACGGGGGCCCGCACAAGCGGUGGAGCAUGUGGUUUAAUUCGAAGCUACGCGAAGAACCUUACCAGGUCUUGACAUACUAUGCAAAUCUAAGAGAUUAGACGUUCCCUUCGGGGACAUGGAUACAGGUGGUGCAUGGUUGUCGUCAGCUCGUGUCGUGAGAUGUUGGGUUAAGUCCCGCAACGAGCGCAACCCUUAUUAUCAGUUGCCAGCAUUAAGUUGGGCACUCUGGUGAGACUGCCGGUGACAAACCGGAGGAAGGUGGGGAUGACGUCAAAUCAUCAUGCCCCUUAUGACCUGGGCUACACACGUGCUACAAUGGAUGGUACAACGAGUUGCGAACUCGCGAGAGUAAGCUAAUCUCUUAAAGCCAUUCUCAGUUCGGAUUGUAGGCUGCAACUCGCCUACAUGAAGUCGGAAUCGCUAGUAAUCGCGGAUCAGCAUGCCGCGGUGAAUACGUUCCCGGGCCUUGUACACACCGCCCGUCACACCAUGAGAGUUUGUAACACCCAAAGUCGGUGGGGUAACCUUUUAGGAACCAGCC